rnacentral:rRNA from 1 species
UACGUAGGGGGCAAGCGUUGUCCGGAUUUAUUGGGCGUAAAGAGCGUGUAGGCGGCCGUACAGGUCAGCUGUGAAAACUCGAGGCUCAACCUCGAGACGUCGGUUGAAACCGUACGGCUAGAGUCCGGAAGAGGAGAGUGGAAUUCCCGGUGUAGCGGUGAAAUGCGCAGAUAUCGGGAGGAACACCAGUGGCGAAGGCGACUUCCUGGCCUGUUCUUGACGCUGAGGCGCGAAAGCUAGGGUAGCAAACGGG